GCCUAAAGCGUCCGUAGCCGGCUUUGUAAGUUUUCGGUUAAAUCUAUAUGCUCAACAUAUAGGCUGCCGGAAAUACUGUAAAGCUAGGGAGUGGGAGAGGUAGACGGUACUCCGUAGGAAGGGGUAAAAUCCUUUGAUCUAUGGAUGACCACCUGUGGCGAAGGCGGUCUACCAGAACACGUCCGACGGUGAGGGAUGAAAGCUGGGGGAGCAAACCGGAUUAGAUACCCGGGUAGUCCCAGCUGUAAACUAUGCAAACUCAGUGAUGCAUUGGCUUGUGGCCAGUACAGUGCCGCAGAGAAGUCGUUAAGUUUGCCGCCUGGGAAGUACGUACGCAAGUAUGAAACUUAAAGGAAUUGGCGGGGGAGCACCACAAGGGGUGAAGCCUGCGGUUCAAUUGGAGUCAACGCCAGAAAUCUUACCCGGAGAGACAGCAGGAUGAAGGUCAAGCUGAAGACUUUACCAGACAAGCUGAGAAGUGGUGCAUGGCCGUCGCCAGCUCGUGCCGUGAGGUGUCCUGUUAAGUCAGGUAACGAGCGAGAUCCUUGCCUCUAGUUGCCACCAUUACUCUCAGGAGUAGUGGGGCGAAUUAGCGGGACUGCCGUAGUUAAUACGGAGGAAGGAGAGGGCCACGGCAGGUCAGUAUGCCCCGAA
rnacentral:rRNA from 1 species